rnacentral:lncRNA from 1 species
CCCAUUUGACACUCCAUGGGAAGCAUUUUGAAAAUGUUUGACCGAACCGUGUUUCAGAGGUUGCCUACAUAUCCUUGGCUAUAAAGGAAUCAGGUCAGUGUAGUUCUGGAAGUUUAGGUAGCUGGGACUACCGAGAAGCUGUGAUUUCACUGUUGUUGCUGUUGUUACUGCUUGCUGAGCUCCUUAUUACACCAAAGUCAAAAUGAAAAAGACUAACUAAGCCUAUCAGCUACGAGUUACAAGAUUCCUAUCUAUGAGUCUUUUGAAGCUUGAUCUUGAGUUUUGGCUGGUUCUUCAUGCAGACUCUGAUCUGAACCUCGAUGCUUGCUAGCUGCAGGUGGUAGUUCAUUCUUCUUCGGCUUUUCGGAUCAAGAUGGGACAUGCAAAGCUUGCGACUUCAAUCAUAUCUUGAGCAGCCCAUAUCUUUUCAUCUUUUUCUGCAUUUUGGAUUCACUUCUUCUUCUUUUUUUUUCUUUUUUUUUUAAAUUCUGGAUUGAGACUUCUUCCUUUGGUCAUCCCGUACUGUCAACUCGCAUUCUUGAGGAGAGCUUCUGCUACUUCUAACUUGAAUUGAAUUCUUAAAUGACUUCUCUCGUUCUCCAGGUGGGCGCCUGAUGACUUAAAACUCGAAAUAAAUUACUUCAUUCUCCAGGUGGGCACCUGCUGACUUAAAAACUUGAAAUAAAUUCCUUCAUUCUCCAGGUGGGCGCCUGUGCUGACUUAAAACAGAAAUGAAUUCCCUCAUUCUCCAGGUGGGCGCUUGAUGUUGACUUGAAACUUGAAAUGGAUUCCCUUGUUUUCCAGGUGGGCGCUUGUUGCUAACUUAAAACUUGAAAUGAAUUCCCUCGUUCUCCAGGUGGGCGCCUGAUGCUAACUUAAAACUUGAAAUGAAUUCCCUCGUUCUCCAGGUGGGUUCUCUAGGUGGGCGCCUGAUGCUAACUUAAAACUUGAAAUAAAUUCCCUCGUUCUCCAGGUGGGCGCCUGCUGACUUAAAACUGAAAUUAAUUCCCUCGUUCUCCAGGUGGGCGACUGAUGAGUUAAAACUUGAAAUUAAUUCCCUCGUUCUCCAGGUGGGCGCCUGCUACUACAAAAAAAAUAGACAAAACAAAAAAAACCUUUCUACCCCAGUUUACACUAGGAAGAUUUGUGAGUUAUUAGCAGAACUAUAAAUUACCUAUGCUAUUGAUAAAAGAUGCAAUGAUGAGAGUAAAAUUAAAGACUCGACUAGGAUGUGCGUCUCCUAAAGAAAUAAAAAUGUGAAAAACCCAAACUAGGAAGUGCGUCUCCUAAAUUUGAGAUUGAGCUUGCGAAAAACUAUAAACUAAGCUUGACUAAACUAAAAACUGACCCUAUUCUCCAGGCGGGACCCCUGAUUUCAAGAAAACUAAAUAUUGAUAACUUAAGAAAACUAAAAAUUGACCUUUGUUUUUUUUU